UAGGGAAUCUUCCGCAAUGGGCGAAAGCCUGACGGAGCAACGCCGCGUGAGUGAUGAAGGUCUUCGGAUCGUAAAACUCUGUUAUUAGGGAAGAACAAAUGUGUAAGUAACUAUGCACGUCUUGACGGUACCUAAUCAGAAAGCCACGGCUAACUACGUGCCAGCAGCCGCGGUAAUACGUAGGUGGCAAGCGUUAUCCGGAAUUAUUGGGCGGAAAGCGCGCGUAGGCGGUUUUUUAAGUCUGAUGUGAAAGCCCACGGCUCAACCGUGGAGGGUCAUUGGAAACUGGAAAACUUGAGUGCAGAAGAGGAAAGUGGAAUUCCAUGUGUAUCGGUGAAAUGCGCAGAGAUAUGGAGGAACACCAGUGGCGAAGGCGACUUUCUGGUCUGUAACUGACGCUAAUGUGCGAAAGCGUGGGGAUCAAACAGG
rnacentral:rRNA from 1 species